UAUAUUGUCAUGACUUGUUCAGGGACACUAUGGUAGAAUAUUUUCUCCAGCUGUUAAGAAACACCAAUCUACAGCAAUGUAUGUACAGUACUCAGACACUGUAUCUUUAAGAACAGGCUGUCUUUAGCAAAGAGAGGCAGAGGUGGGUUAGCUUGCAGGAAUUGCUGUAAUUUUCCUGUGUGUAUUAAGAGUAGUUGGCUAGGAGGAAUGACAAAAGCUUCACUGACCUCUCAGGCUCAGGUAAACAACUUGCUGUUGAAAAAUGCUAGGAAAAGGAUUUCAAAAUUCAACAUAAUUUUGGAAAAAGGAAGACAUCAACCUGAGCUGGCUCUGUCAAUAAGAAAGAUGUAAUCGGCUGGGAGUUUUUUCUUAAAUAUUCUAAAACUCUCAUGUGUAUAUAAACAGCAUAUUUUAACAUAGCAUAACAUCAAUAACUUACUGUUGUUUCCCAAAAUAAUACAGUUUACAAGACACCAUAGAAAGAACACAGGAGUAGCCCUGUCGGAAUAGACCAAUCAUCAUCUAGUCUGGUAUCCUGUCUCUGACAACAGGCAAUUCCAAAUACUUCAGAAGAAGGGAUCCUGGUCGCCUAACUCGGCUUUGUGGAUCAGAGUGGUGCUCCUGAAUUGUCUAGGUGCCUAAAAAUUGGAUUACUGCAAUGGGGUUACUCUUGAAGACCAUCCAGAAGCUCCAGCCAGGACAGAUGUACCUUCCCGUCCACCUGCUUGGCAGUGUCAGCUACCUGGAGCAUACAACACCUAUUCUUCAAAGAUUCUACUAGCUUCCAGCUUGCCCCAAGCUGCGGUUCAAGUGACUGACUAGGAUUUCAUGACAUUUUUCUAAAUUUCCAAUUUUGUUGAAUUUUUUGUUCAAAAUUUCAACAGAAAAAACAGAAGAACAAAAUCAUGAAUUUCCCUGCCCCAUUUUCAUCCAGCUCUGGUAUGAUCUAUACACCCCAAUGUGAUCUAGGGACUGCCUUUCCUAUUUUAUGUCAUUGCAGCAAGUGAGAUCACCUUGGGGGCUCUUCUAACAGCCUUGAUAUUUGAGUGGCUGGUGGGUAGGACAGUCUUGUUGGUGCCUUCUUCUACUCCAACAGUGCAGUGCCCAAGUUAGGUCACAGUCCAAGACCUAGCUAUUUUCUCAGGUCUUCACAGAGCACAUUGUAGGUUUCCCAAAGCUCCAGGAUUGUGCUGGAAUCUCCAGGAAUUAAAGAUUAAUCUUUAAUUAAAGAUUAUGUCAUGUGAUGAAACCUCCAGGAAUAUGUCCAGCCAAAAUUGGCAACCCUGGCAGCCUGAGUGGAGGGCUAGGAAUUUAGCUUAUAUUUGGUAGUGGUAAAAAUGUUUUCCUGUUGACUUUGUCAAAGUGCUAUAUGGCUCUUUUUGUUGUUUAUGCACCUAGGGAUAUUGGUGAGACGUGUACUUUAACUACAAAUAUGGAGAGGAGAACUUUGCUCAGCAUUUUAGGAAGGAAAUAGCAGUAAUCUCCAGUUAAUGAUUGUAUAAAAUCACUUGCAUUGCUCUAGCAUAAAUGCCACUCUUGCAUGUUUUCUUUAUGCCACUGUAGGCUAUUUACUUUAAUUUAAAAGAGAAACUAUCAAACCAUAAGGGCUGCCUGAUAGUGUACAACUUGGCUAGGCCUCUGAUGCUGAGCAUAAAAAUAAACCAUGAAAAUUUAGCUGUAGAAUUGCUAAUUUCUUCUUUUAUUCAUAGGGGGAGUAAACAGGAGGAAGGGACACCCAUACGAAUUCCAUUUCUGACCGAUGGUCUCUCCUGAGAGUUCUGAUUUGUGUGAAGAAUGGCCGGGCAGCUUGUAAAAUCCUGGAAUAUAUGGUUAUUAUUCCUUGGCUUCUAAAUGAUAGCUGUGCUAUUGCUGAUUUUUUCCCCCACAUCUGUUUUUCGAUUGAAGUCUGAUAAGUGCAACUAAGGGCUCACAUCCUGGCUGAUCAGUGGAUAGAGGUGACGUCUUGCAUGCCAGAAUGCCUGGGGGUCAGCAUGGGGAGCCUCAAUUCUAGUUCCCAACCAAACAGGUGGCUUCACCAAAUGGUUAUGAUGAGAAGAGAUCUAGUAUGAAUAGGGCAACAAAUAUUUCUAAUGGGAACCUCCAGUGAAAUUCUAUUGGAAUUGUGAAAGCCAAGAUAGCACAGCUAUAGCCCUAGCUAGAACUGAAACUAUGAGUACCCCCAGGAGGAUUUGUACUGCAGGUGCCACAAUAAAUUCAGGGGUAUUAUCUGAAAAGCACUAUCACAUUAUUUUUGUAUUAGUAAAACUAAGCAUAAUUGCUAUUAGACCAGUGGAGAGUGAAUGAUCACAGUAUAUCUAUUUUCUUUUGCUUCAUAUGGAAAUAAAUGUUUCACAACACAAGAAGCACAGAUUUGGUGCUCUACUUGUGUGGUUUUCUGGGAACAUGUUCAUAGUCUCCAUUAUACUUUUUAAAUAUAUAAAAUACAAUACAUAGCAAUGGGAAGACAUGGUAUAAAUAAGAUCUAUAUUCCUGGUUCAUGGCUUUACUCUUGCAGAUACUGGGCACUAGAUACUAUGGUGAUUGGUGCUAUAAAAUACCUUAUAUAGAUAUUUUAUUAUUAUUUACCUCAUUAGCAGAUAUAGGGCAAAAUUCUCUUCUGGUAUAAAUUGGCACAGUUCCAUUGAUAUCGCUGCAGCUGCACCAAUUUACAUCAACAGAGAAUUUGACCCAUACCUGUAAUCCUGCUUUUCCUUCCCUUCAGUAUUGGUUACCUCUCUGGAAUUUACUCCAUUACUGUGACUUAUAUUUUAUUGUACUUUUGCUAAGGCAACCAGAAGUCCUUUGGCAUUGGUGCCUAAAAAUAAAAGAAUAUUGUUGUUCUAUUAACAUUACUCCCAAAGUUAAUGAGAGUUUUGUCCAGAUACAGACUUCAGGAUUGGAAGCAUUACAAUUAAAAUAGAAACCGCCGUAGAAAAGGAUGGCAAUUAAUAACAUUGUAGAUACAUUACAGUAUAUACAAAUAAAUAACGCCUACGUGCAAAA